rnacentral:tRNA from 1 species
GGUCCCAUCGUCUAGUGGCCCAGGACACCACCCUCUCAAGGUGGAGACACGGGUUCGAACCCCGUUGGGACCA